AUGAACGGUGAGCUUGAUGACUGGGCUUUCUCUACAAAGCCUUGGACAUCACUGAUUCUGCAGCAAUAUGGACACAUUAUUUAAAGUCUAUGCAUGUUACACUCACCGAUGAGAAAGGUUAAACCUCUGCACUAGCCGUCGGCCAUCUGCUAGCCAGAUCUGUAGACAUGUGAUGGGCAACGCUUCGUCCAGCUCCACUGGAGGGACCGGGGGGCCUGAGCAAUCUUCAUGGAUUGACCGAGACCUGACCACAACUCUAGGUGCCACGCUAGCCGAGAGAAAACGAGUAAGUGACCAAUCUGGAAUGUCUCAGUGGAUAAUGCGCUGUAUACCCCCGAUAUGUUGUGUGCAAUCAUCGGGC